rnacentral:rRNA from 1 species
UACCCUUCUCUAAGGAAUAGCCACUGGAAACGGUGAGUAAUACCUUAUACGCCCUUCGGGGAAAGAUUUAUCGGAGAGGGAUCAGCCCGCGUUAGAUUAGAUAGUUGGUGGGGUAACGGCCUACCAAGUCUACGAUCUAUAGCUGGUUUUAGAGGAUGAUCAGCAACACUGGGACUGAGACACGGCCCAGACUCCUACGGGAGGCAGCAGUGGGGAAUCUUGGACAAUGGGCGCAAGUGAUCCAGCCAUGCCGCGUGAGUGAUGAAGGCCUUAGGGUCGUAAAGCUCUUUCGCCAGGGAUGAUAAUGACAGUACCUGGUAAAGAAACCCCGGCUAACUCCGUGCCAGCAGCCGCGGUAAUACGGAGGGGGUUAGCGUUGUUCGGAAUUACUGGGCGUAAAGCGUACGUAGGCGGAUCAGAAAGUUGGGGGUGAAAUCCCGGGGCUCAACCCCGAACUGCCUCCAAAACUCCUGGUCUAGAGUUCGAGAGAGGUGAGUGGAAUUCCGAGUGUAGAGGUGAAAUUCGUAGAUAUUCGGAGGAACACCAGUGGCGAAGGGGCUCACUGGCUCGAUACUGACGCUGAGGUACGAAAGUGUGGGGAGCAAACAGGAUUAGAUACCCUGGUAGUCCACACCGUAAACGAUGAAUGCCAGUCGUCGGGUAGCAUGCUAUUCGGUGACACACCUAACGGAUUAAGCAUUCCGCCUGGGGAGUACGGUCGCAAGAUUAAAACUCAAAGGAAUUGACGGGGGCCC